GACUACAGUCAAGAACAACUUGAUUUUCAACAUCAUCUUACCGUCAGUGGGUGCAUGCUUUGGCUUAAUCCUCAUAAUAUUGGUAAUAGUUAUUCUGUACCGACGAUGUUUUAGAAGAAGAGAGACAAGAGGACAGAGUCGACAGGUGGUAGUCAUGCAUCAGGCUAACCCAAUUUAUGAUGAAACAUCCUUCAUAUCU